GACGAACGCUGGCGGCGUGCCUAAUACAUGCAAGUAGAACGCUGAAGGAGGAGCUUGCUUCUCUGGAUGAGUUGCGAACGGGUGAGUAACGCGUAGGUAACCUGCCUGGUAGCGGGGGAUAACGAUUGGAAACGAUAGCUAAUACCGCAUAAUAGUAGAUGUUGCAUGACAUUUGCCUAAAAGGUGCAAUUGCAUCACUACCAGAUGGACCUGCGUUGUAUUAGCUAGUUGGUGGGGUAACGGCUCACCAAGGCGACGAUACAUAGCCGACCUGAGAGGGUGAUCGGCCACACUGGGACUGAGACACGGCCCAGACUCCUACGGGAGGCAGCAGUAGGGAAUCUUCGGCAAUGGACGGAAGUCUGACCGAGCAACGCCGCGUGAGUGAAGAAGGUUUUCGGAUCGUAAAGCUCUGUUGUAAGAGAAGAACGAGUGUGAGAGUGGAAAGUUCACACUGUGACGGUAUCUUACCAGAAAGGGACGGCUAACUACGUG
rnacentral:rRNA from 1 species